UCAGACCCCUUUGAUAGUGACAGUGACCCAGAUGACCCUGAGCCUUUCCAUGGUUUUGAUGCCUUGCCCUAUACAUCAGAUCUAGAUGUUCCCUCAUCAGUUGAUACGAGUAUCACCUCUCCAGAGCCCAAAUCAGUUGAUACGAGUAGUAUCACCUCUCCCAUUCCUUCAGACUCCCAAGCACCUGCCCAUCCCACUCCAUAGCCCAGCCACCCACUCUCAUGUACCAUAUGGCCAUCCCAGUAAGCAAGCCAACCACUAGAAUUUG